rnacentral:rRNA from 1 species
CUACGGGAGGCAGCAGUAAGGAAUAUUGGGCAAUGGACGCAAGUCUGACCCAGCCAUGCCGCGUGCAGGAAGAAGGCGCUAUGCGUUGUAAACUGCUUUUGUACGGGAAUAAACCCCUCUACGUGUAGAGGGCUGAAGGUACCGUAAGAAUAAGCACCGGCUAACUCCGUGCCAGCAGCCGCGGUAAUACGGAGGGUGCAAGCGUUAUCCGGAUUUAUUGGGUUUAAAGGGUGCGUAGGCGGAUUAGUAAGUCAGUGGUGAAAGCCUGCAGCUUAACUGCAGAACUGCCAUUGAAACUGCUUUUCUUGAGUGCAUUUGAAGUGAGCGGAAUGUGUCAUGUAGCGGUGAAAUGCUUAGAUAUGACACAGAACACCGAUUGCGAAGGCAGCUCACUAAACUGUAACUGACGCUGAGGCACGAAAGCGUGGGGAUCAAACGGGAUUAGAUACCCCGGUAGUCC